rnacentral:lncRNA from 1 species
AGGAAAUUUUGCUAGUGGAGAUGAAUGAUUGUUCUAAAUUGACGGAUGAAGCUAUGUGUUCUUUGAGUGGGCUUUUAUAUGUUUGCAUAAUUUUUGCUCUUCAAACUUAAGCUUCAUGUAUGACAGAUUGUCAAUGAAAAUAGAUAAACUGUUCUCAAAGAAGUAUUAUGCUAGAUUUACCGUCUUAUAAACUAAGCUUAUGUCUGUUUCAAAUUGACGUUUUGACUAAUGUGGGAUUUUUGUUUGGUGUCAAGACCUGGACGUGUGAUUCAACGCUUUGUUGUUG